CGUAGGGUGCGAGCGCUAAUCGGAAUUACUGGGCGUAAAGCGUGCGCAGGCGGUUUAGUAAGACAGGCGUGAAAUCCCCGGGCUCAACCUGGGAACUGCGCUUGUGACUGCUAAGCUAGAGUACGGCAGAGGGGGGUGGAAUUCCACGUGUAGCAGUGAAAUGCGUAGAGAUGUGGAGGAACACCAAUGGCGAAGGCAGCCCCCUGGGUCGAUACUGACGCUCAUGCACGAAAGCGUGGGUAGCAAACAGGAUUAGAUACCCUGGUAGUCCACGCCCUAAACGAUGUCAACUAGGUGUUGGGAGGGUAAAACCUUUUAGUACCGGAGCUAACGCGUGAAGUUGACCGCCUGGGGAGUACGGCCGCAAGGUUA
rnacentral:rRNA from 1 species